UAGUCCACGCCCUAAACGAUGUUUACUCGUUAUUGGCGAUAUAAUGUCAGUAUCCAAGCGAAAGCGUUAAGUAAACCACCUGGGGAGUACGUUCGCAAGAAUGAAACUCAAAGGAAUUGACGGGGGUCCGCACAAGCGAUGGAGCGUGUGGUUUAAUUCGAUGAUACGCGAGGAACCUUACCUAGGCUAUAAUGUGAGCGCUAUCUGGUGAAAGCCGGAGUUCCUUCGGGACGCGAAACAAGGUGCUGCAUGGUUGUCGUCAGCUCGCGCCGUGAGGUGUUGGGUUAAGUCCCGCAACGAGCGCAACCCCUAUCUUUAGUUGCUAACAUUAAGUUGAGGACUCUAGAGAGACUGCCGGCGUAAGCCGCGAGGAAGGUGGGGACGACGUCAAAUCAUCAUGGCCUUUAUGCCUAGGGCGACACACGUGCUACAAUGGCGUGAACAGAGGGUAGCGAGACCGCGAGGUGGAGCCAAUCCCAGAAAUCACGUCCCAGUUCGGAUUGAAGUCUGC
rnacentral:rRNA from 1 species